rnacentral:rRNA from 1 species
UACAGAGGGGGCAAGCGUUGUUCGGAAUUACUGGGCGUAAAGGGCGCGUAGGCGGCCUGUUAAGUCAGACGUGAAAUCCCUCGGCUCAACCGGGGAACUGCGUCUGAUACUGGCGGGCUUGAAUUCGGGAGAGGGAUGUGGAAUUCCAGGUGUAGCGGUGAAAUGCGUAGAUAUCUGGAGGAACACCGGUGGCGAAGGCGGCAUCCUGGACCGACAUCGACGCUGAGGCGCGAAAGCCAGGGGAGCAAACGGG